ACUCCUACGCGAGGCAGCAGUAGGGGAAUCUUCCACAAUGGACGAAAGUCUGAUGGAGCAACGCCGCGUGAGUGAAGAAGGGUUUCGGCUCGUAAAACUCUGUUGUUAAAGAAGAACAUAUCUGAGAGUAACUGUUCAGGUAUUGACGGUAUUUAACCAGAAAGCCACGGCUAACUACGUGCCAGCAGCCGCGGUAAUACGUAGGUGGCAAGCGUUGUCCGGAUUUAUUGGGCGUAAAGCGAGCGCAGGCGGUUUUUAAGUCUGAUGUGAAAGCCUUCGGCUCAACCGAAGAAGUGCAUCGGAAACUGGGAAACUUGAGUGCAGAAGAGGACAGUGGAACUCCAUGUGUAGCGGUGAAAUGCGUAGAUAUAUGGAAGAACACCAGUGGCGAAGGCGGCUGUCUGGUCUGUAACUGACGCUGAGGCUCGAAAGUAUGGGUAGCAAACAGGAUUAGAUACCCUGGUAGGAUAGCG
rnacentral:rRNA from 1 species